GAGAAAAUGGGAAGCAAAAUGGAAGCAAAGAUUUGAAAUUCUGACUUUGGUUCUUCCUCAGAGCUUUGCGCCUGGAAAAAAGAACAACACAUUAACUUAGGAGGCACUCUAAAAUCUGCAUUACAGAGUUACUAGACCUUGACUGCUACUACAAAUCUGAAAUUACCACCUUGCAGCCUGGAAAUGGAAUUUGAGGAGUCAAAUCCCACAAGAAAAGUUCUUUUUGAAACACUUCCAAACCAAUCUGGAAAAAAAAGAAACAUAACUUCAGAGAAUUUAGGACAGCCUUUCAUAAACAUCAAAACAUUUUUGUUCUGUUUACUGCAAGAGAUUUGAGGUUAAAUCUUUAGUAGUAUCUUAGGGAAAUACCAGCAUUAGAUUGUAUGUGAUGUCUUAGGCUUAGUGCAUGAGAAAACAAGAGUAAGCCCACAGAAGUACAUUUCUAUCUCAGGCAAUCUGCAACCUCAAUCUGUGAUCAAUUAAAAUAAAUAUGUAUCUGUUGGAUUUAUUAUUUGCAAGAUUCAUCUUAUGUAAGUACUUCAGGUUUAUAGUAAAAUAGUUUGGUCCUAAGCUUAGCUGGGGGUUGAUAUCAAACCCUAAAAAUCAAAUAAUUACAACAGUAAGCACAGAAAUUGAAUCUAGGAUUAGAAAGAACACCCAUUUGGGGGCUCGUCUUUUUUUUUUUUUUUUUUUUUUUUCCCCUACAGAUAUUAAAAUUGAAUUAACUGAAAAUUGAAUUGAAAAUGUAGAUUUGUAAAAGAUGUUUACAUUAGCCCUAUAUGAACAUCUUAGUGGUCUUUGAAACAAAAUUAUUCUGGAACCAACAGAUACAGCCAAAACUUUUAAAACUUCUGCAUGAAGAAAAUUCUGUCAAAUGCUGAAAAGACAAUUUGUAUAUUCAAAUGUUUCAAUAUAAAACAUGAAGAGAUCAGAUAAGAAAUAGGAUAUUUUUGGAACAUUAUACAAAUACAGAGAUUUGGAGAGAUGAACAAGGUGUUCAAAGCAUCAGGACAGUCAGAAAUCCAAACCAGACUGACUGAGAAGCACUGCUUUGGUAUUUCUUUUCAACCUUGUACAGCAUACUAAUAGGACUUCCUAGCUCCAGUUAUGGAAGGAAGAGUCCAUGUUUUCUUUCUAGUCUGCCACAGUGCACCAAGCAUUGCCUGCACUAGUGCUGGAGCUAAACAAAGCUAUUGGAAGACUGGGAAAUGUUUGUCAGUAUAAGGAAUGGAAUGGUUAAGGAAGCCAAUGCAUAGUGCUGUGACUAAUGCUACUAUAUUGCAAGAUCAUGAGAAAGAAGGAUCUACAUGAUGCCUGGCUAACUCACGCGUAUGCUCACCAAGGCAAAUUGAGAAAACAAGAGAUAAGCAGAAGAGAAUUUGGUAAAAAACAAGAUGAAAAGGAAGAAUAAAGACAUCGCAUUGUUUAUAUCUUUUAAAAUUAAGUAGGUGAGACCUAGAAGUUGGAAGAUGAGAAUACCAGUGUACUGAAUGGAGAAGAGAGUCAAAUGCUGCAGAAGCAAUAGAACACACUCAGCAUCCUAUGGCAGGAGUAUUGGAAAUAGAUGAUCUAUGAUGCCCCUUUCAACUCAAGCCAUUCUAUGAUUCUACGACUCUAUGAUCCUGAUAUGCCCUGAUAUGCCCAGUCUUCAACACAAAGUCCAAACAUCUGAGAAGGCUCCUACAUCUUGUUUACACUGCAGCCAUAUACAGCCACAACACCCAAAUGCAUUAUUUAAUCUAAAUUGAUGAAGCUGACCUCUGCAGGGGAUUGGGGAGUGGAAACAUCCUGGGGUAGAGCUGGCACAGACAGAGAAAAGUUUCUAUUAAUUGGUUGUCCUUCUACAGCACACGCAGGAGUUGGAGGCUUUGAGGUGGGAGAUGAGCUCCUGGACAGUGAUGCAAUACAGCACUUUCCUGCAGCAUGCAAGAGCAUUCCAACAGAGACAGAUGCACUCCAUGCAGAAGGGAGAGUAGUCUCUCCCCUCAGAGGUUGCCUUCAGCACAGGAAACUUUCUUCCUUCCUGCCUGACCAGCGAUGGAGGACAUUAUGACCCUCCCAGCCAUUCCCCUGUACCUUGGAGCAGCAGGGCUGCAGAGAAUUCCUGUUCACAAUCUUCAGCAGUCACAGACUUCCUAGCAUCUAAUGCGGAGUGGAUGAAGGUGAAGUGGUGUCAGAUUUUCUACUGUAGUGAAUACAUUUGUGUUCUCUGUAUCAUGUUAUAAAUAAAUAAAUAAAUAAAUCAUUUUACUUUUUCUUCACUCUCUAGGCCUGAGGUUGACUGCAGCAGCUGCAUCUAGACAUUUAGUUAGAUAGUUUGAUACAUUCUUAAAGUAGAGGGUAGACCUAGAACACUGCUUUAUUCUAUGAAUUGUGGCUCUAUCCUGCAUUUAGGCAUAACACAAUUAUACUAUUAGAAAGCUGAAAAGCUGAGCAGCUGUUGCUUCCCACAAUGUGAAGCAGUUAGUUUUGAAAAGCAUUGAUGGGUUUAAAAUCAUAUGAAUGUUGCAAAAAUCGUAUUCAAAUGUGAUUGUUAAAUGUUCAGGCAGACCAGAUUUUGGAAAUUAUCAGGACAAUUCGUCUGAACUGUUGCAAAAUCUACUUUUCCUACUUAUACUAUUGGAAGAUGAAAAGUGCUUAACAAAUGUUAAAAAUAAUAAUAAUAAUAAUAAAUAAAAUAAAUAAAUAAAGGAAAAACAAGACAGAACAUGUUAUAUGAAUUCUGUGAGACCCUCUUAGCCCUUCCCUCUUCUAAAUCUGGAGGAUCUCCAGAGACUUCAGAUCACAAAGUAACUAUAAACUGGUUAAGUCAACACCAACUUGAUAACUUCACGGCCCAUUUUGACUCCAUCAUGUGUCUGUGUCUGUAUUCUUUUCCUGAUGCCAGACAAGAUUGCAAGAGUCUUGGUCUGAUAUCUGGAUUAAUGACAUAAGUCAUUGUUUUUACAGUUUACUUCAGCUAGAAGAAAUGGAAAAUAUAUUCCAGAACUCGAUUUCUAUUAUUCCUAGUCUCUAUCCAUAGCGUGAAUAUGGUCUCUAGUCUUAUAUUGAAGCUGUUACAGGGGCAUGGAAAGGAAAUGGGAAAAAUAAUGUAAAAAGAAGUCCUUCCACACAAAAGAAAGGAUACUUAGGUUUGCAGUGCUAGAUGGGUGGAUUUAAGGCCACAGCCAGGACCCAAUGUUUAGUUAACCAGCCAUAUUAUUCCACUAUUCAGAAUAAUAUUAUUAAAAUUUGCAGAAAUAUUCACAUUACUUGAAGUGAUAUUGUUGCUGUAAUUGACUUACACAUGUAGAUAAAACACUUGAUAAGUCAAAUUUCACUUUGCAAGGCUACAGUGACUAUAAAUAGCUUACAUUAAGAAAAGGAAAAUGUGACAUUGAUUUCACCUUGAGCAGAACAUUCACAGGAAAGAUGUCUGCUGUUACACAUCAGACCAUAGAAAAUUGCAGUAUUAUCAAUACCAUAUUUAUUUUGGUUCAAUUCUAGAAUACCUCUCUAAUUCUGACAUGUGAUAUGCUGUGCCACCUCCAUGAAUUACUCCUUUCAUUUAGCUUUCAAGGUAGAGGAACUGAACUUUUCUUUUUUUUUUUUUAUUUAUCUGGUAAAAACAUUUCUCAGUUGAGCCAUAAUACAAAGCAGUGGUUUGCACACAACUUAUGCUGUCAUAAAAAGAAUACAGGAAUUCACAAAAUCUGCCGGAGUUUAUGUUAGUUUUUCCUUGACUGCAGCCUGUGCACAAAUGAAAUUCACUAUGUUUAGAUUAAUUGUUGUGAUAUACACCAAGCUCUAGUUCUUCAGAGUCCGACCACCUUGGUGAUAUAUGUUAAUGUCUUACUUUAGCAAUACAC